rnacentral:lncRNA from 1 species
AUUUCUAUACGGAAGAAACUCCUUGGAAUCGUUGGUGGUUGAGUAUAGCACUGUAAGUAUACGGUCAGGAGAUCAAGUAUCCAAAUAUGAAAUUUUAAAUAAUGUUUUGCCGUUGAAGUAUUCAUCAUUUUUAUUAUCAAAUUUUGCAAUAACUAAUUAGCAGGAUGUUUAUUAUAAAAAUAUAUUAUCUUUCAGUAAGUUUAUUGGUAAUGUUACAAGCCAGACUGAGAUACAUAAUUUAAAACGGUUACUAAUGACAUAACUCAAACAUAUUAU